rnacentral:rRNA from 1 species
UACGGAGGGUCCAAGCGUUAAUCGGAAUUACUGGGCGUAAAGCGCGCGUAGGCGGCUGAGUAAGUCGAUUGUGAAAGCCCCGGGCUCAACCUGGGAAUUGCAGUCGAGACUGUUCGGCUAGAGUGUGGGAGAGGGUGGUGGAAUUCCCGGUGUAGCGGUGAAAUGCGUAGAUAUCGGGAGGUUUUUUUAAUGCUAAGGCGACCACCGAGAUCUACACUGACGCUGAGGUGCGAAAGCGUGGGUAGCAAACAGG